GGUUUCAUAGUGUAGCGGUUAGCACAUCUGCUUUACAUGCAGAAGGUCCUAGGUUUGCGCCCCAGUGUAGCCA
rfam:Pteropus alecto contig56566, whole genome shotgun sequence.